rnacentral:rRNA from 1 species
UACGGAGGGUGCGAGCGUUGUCCGGAAUCAUUGGGCGUAAAGGGCGCGUAGGUGGCGGGACAAGCGUGCGGUGAAAGCUCGGGGCUCAACCCCGAGUCGGCCGUGCGAACUGUUUUGCUUGAGCACUGUAGAGGCAGGCGGAAUUCCGGGUGUAGCGGUGGAAUGCGUAGAGAUCCGGAAGAACACCGGUGGCGAAGGCGGCCUGCUGGGCAGUAGCUGACACUGAGGCGCGACAGCGUGGGGAGCAAACAGGAUUAGAUACCGU